rnacentral:lncRNA from 1 species
UUUAUUUUUAAUUACCGGUAAUCUCAAAUUUAUAGCAACUGAUAAAACAGAACAUUUCCUUCUAUUUAUGCAUUAUUAUAAAUUUUGUCACAUUAAUUUUUUAUUAUGUUCAUUAUCAUUUUAUUUUUCCAUUAUGUUUAUUGUCAGUUUAUUUUUGCAAUUCAUUUUUGCACCUAUAUUAGUCUGGUGCCUGAGGCAGUUGCCUUGCUGCCUCACCUAUGGAACCAGCCCUGAUGCUAUACUGUAUUUACCUUCAUUGUUGUCCAAUAUAUUCAAAUUCAUAGUUCAAAUUAUGGGACUGACUUCACUUUCAAAAUAAACAUUUCUAAAUUCUUAACAGCUAAACUUUUUUUGAUAUUAGCACAAUCCCUGAUUGACAUUCAAAUAUUUUUAAGAAAAAACUUCACAUUAACCAUAACAACUAUAUUAUAGAUCUCUUCCAAAACAGGACUUUUAUCAUUUUCAAAAUAAGUACCACAAUUGAUAAGCAUCAUAGCCAGAGUUUAUAAACAGUUAUUUUAAUUGUAGCUGUUCAUUGUGAUGAUAAGAAAUACAGUGAGUUUAAUCAUAGCAAAUACUUCACUACUAAUAUAUAAUUCUGAGAAAAUGUGAGAUCUAAGAUGUGAAUUGAGUUGGCUGCACGCCAUUUCUUGGCAAAAAACAUCUAGAUUAAUACAGUGGAACCUCGAUAACUCGAACCUCUAUUACUCGAAUUUUCGAUAAGUCGAAGCAGUUUUCGUUUCCCGAAUGGCCUU